CCUACGGGGGGCAGCAGUGAGGAAUAUUGGUCAAUGGACGAGAGUCUGAACCAGCCAAGUAGCGUGAAGGAUGACUGCCCUAUGGGUUGUAAACUUCUUUUAUAUGGGAAUAAAAUGUUCCACGUGUGGGAUUUUGUAUGUACCAUAUGAAUAAGGAUCGGCUAACUCCGUGCCAGCAGCCGCGGUAAUACGGAGGAUCCGAGCGUUAUCCGGAUUUAUUGGGUUUAAGGGGAGCGUAGGUGGAUUGUUAAGUCAGUUGUGAAAGUUUGCGGCUCAACCGUAAAAUUGCAGUUGAAACUGGCAGUCUUGAGUACAGUAGAGGUGGGCGGAAUUCGUGGUGUAGCGGUGAAAUGCUUAGAUAUCACGAAGAACUCCGAUUGCGAAGGCAGCUUACUGGACUGCAACUGACACUGAGGCUCGAAAGUGUGGGUAUCAAACAGGAUUAGAUACCCCAGUAGUC
rnacentral:rRNA from 1 species